rnacentral:misc_RNA from 1 species
GAUGAAGAACGUAGCGAAAUGCGAUAAGUAGUGUGAAUUGCAGAAUUCAGUGAAUCAUCGAAUCUUUGAACGCACAUUGCGCCCCUUGGUAUUCCAUGGGGCAUGCCUGUUCGAGCGUCAUUUGUACCUUCAAGCUCUGCUUGGUGUUGGGUGUUUGUCUCGCCUCUGCGUGUAGACUCGCCUCAAAACAAUUGGCAGCCUGCGUAUUGAUUUCGGAGCGCAGUACAUCUCGCGCUUUGCACUCAUAACGACGACGUCCAAAAGUACAUUUUUACACUCUUGACCUCGGAUCAGGUAGGGAUACCCGCUGAACUUAAGCAUAUCAAUAAGCGGAGGA